AUGAAGGAGACCGGCUGGCUGGUGGCGGCGGUGGCGUCCGCCGCGGUGCCCGCCGUCCUUUUCUACCUCGGCUUCGUGAGGCGCGUCACGGGGGCUUCGCGCACCGUCUUCCGUCGCCGAGAGGCCGGGCGGGCCGAAGGGACGGGAAGGCCGCCGGCCGACGGGUGGGUCCCCAGACUCUCUGGCUUCCUUCUGCGGCUUGUUGUACAUUUGGCCAACACUGCUCUUGGACAACUUUUUUUAGUGCCUCUUUUAAUGCAAACCAACAACUUUACCCUUCUGCGCUACCUUGAUAUUGCUGAAGACCCCACUUUUGUGCCAGUAGUUGCUGAUAAAGAAAAAAGUGAGCAUUCAAAAGCCAGCAAUGUAUCAGAGAUUCUGCAUAAGCUGAUGGAGACAAGCUCUCAUUCUGCUAGCCCGACCUUCAGGUUCAAAGGGAUCCAGGAUUAUUUGAAUUGCUAUCGGUAAGUGAAUUUGAAGGGGUCCCUUCCUGCUGAAAUUUCUGUACUUGAGGUCAUGGUCCUUUUUCGUGUGAUGAAAGUGACUUUGUUUUUUAUACAAGAUAAACAUUAUGAACCUUUCUUUUUUUUUCUAUCAAGAGAAAAACAAACUACUCUUAAGAAUAUUUUUGUUUCAUAUGAAACAUUGGCAAAAAUACUGUUGCUUAGUAUAGUAAAUCACAUUAGAGUAGGCCUAUGGAAUCAGUGGGGAUUUAGGGAAUCACCUGCUCCAUACAUUCCAUUGAUUUGAACGGCAUACUUCAAUUAUGACUUACUAUGCUAAAGUAAAUCAUUGUCAGAGGAGGCCCAUUUGAAUCAAUGACAUGGAACAGUUGACUCACUAAGUUCCAAUUGAUUCAGUGGAAUUUAUUAUGCUAAGCAACAGGAUUUUGGCCACUAUCUUAUUUAUAGCAUUUAGAGUCUAAUAAUAGCAGAUUUUGUAACCAUUUUUAUUUUACUUUAUUUUGUUUUAUUUUUUGGAGAAGAAACUCUCUGCAACAAAAAUAGCACUUCUGUGCUGUUUUGAAUUCUGCUUUGCUACAACACACACACGUCUAAAAUCAGGCUUAUAACCUUCCAGAAACAGAAAUAGAAGUUUGGGCCAAACUCAAAUCUUGGAACACAAAGAGCUAAUAAUGUUUUGUAAUUACUUUGGAUUGGAGGGGUGAUAAUACAUUCACAGUCGCACAGUGGAACACCAAGAUAAAGCACUGAGAUCUUGUGGAAAAGUCACAUACAAAACCCGUGUUUUAAGAAAUGCUAGUAGCAAAAAUGAUUUUUUUUAAAAAAUCUCUUUUUCUUUUAUUGAUUAUAUAAGUUGAAGCAAAUGUACCAAAGGUUGUGCCUGUUACAAAAUCUGAUAGAAAUAAAUAAGUGUUGAACAGAUUAGAAAGCUUCUGA
rnacentral:lncRNA from 1 species